AGGGGUGUGGCUCAGAGGUAGAGCUCUUGCCUAGCAUGCUUGAGGCCUUAGGUUCUAUUCCAAGCACCACAA
rnacentral:tRNA from 1 species